rnacentral:rRNA from 1 species
UUGAACGCUGGCGGCAUGCCUUACACAUGCAAGUCGAACGGUAACAGGUCUUCGGAUGCUGACGAGUGGCGAACGGGUGAGUAAUACAUCGGAACGUGCCCGAUCGUGGGGGAUAACGGAGCGAAAGCUUUGCUAAUACCGCAUACGAUCUACGGAUGAAAGCAGGGGACCGCAAGGCCUUGCGCGGACGGAGCGGCCGAUGGCAGAUUAGGUAGUUGGUGGGAUAAAAGCUUACCAAGCCGACGAUCUGUAGCUGGUCUGAGAGGACGACCAGCCACACUGGGACUGAGACACGGCCCAGACUCCUACGGGAGGCAGCAGUGGGGAAUUUUGGACAAUGGGGGCAACCCUGAUCCAGCCAUGCCGCGUGAGUGAAGAAGGCCUUCGGGUUGUAAAGCUCUUUCAGACGGAAAGAAAACGCAUCGGUGAAUACCCGGUGUGGAUGACGGUACCGUAAGAAGAAGCACCGGCUAACUACGU